GAGACCUACGGGACGCAGCAGGGGGGAAUAUUGCACAAUGGGCGCAAGCCUGACGCAGCGACGCCGCGUGCGGGAUGGAGGCCUUCGGGUUGUAAACCGCUUUUGUUCAAGGGCAAGGCACGGUCUUUGGCCGUGUUGAGUGGAUUGUUCGAAUAAGCACCGGCUAACUACGUGCCAGCAGCCGCGGUAAUACGUAGGGUGCAAGCGUUAUCCGGAUUUAUUGGGCGUAAAGGGCUCGUAGGCGGUUCGUCGCGCCCGGCGUGAAAGUCCAUCGCUUAACGGUGGAUCCGCGCCGGGUA
rnacentral:rRNA from 1 species